rnacentral:rRNA from 1 species
AAAAUAACAAUGAUACCCUUAGUAGCGGCGAGCGAAGUGGGUAAGGCUCAAGUUUAAAACCUGUUUGUCCUAGACAAACCGGAUUGUAAACUAAGGACGUGCUAUCCAGGCUCUUUGGACCUUCAAGUCCUUUGGAAUAAGGCUUCACAGAGGGUGACAAUCCCGUAGAGGGUCUUGAAAGAGUCUAUUGCGAUGCAUGCUCCAAGAGUCAGGUUGUUUGGGAAUGCAGCCUAAAGUGGGAGGUAAAUCCCUCCUAAGGCUAAAUAUUGGCGAGAGACCGAUAGCAAACAAGUACCGUGAGGGAAAGUUGAAAAGGACUUUGAAAAGAGAGUCAAAAGUACGUGAAAUUGCUUAAAGGGAAGCGUUUGGAGCUAGUUUGGCUAGUCUGUUAUCAGCCUGAGCUUCGGCUUUGGUGUACUAUCAGGCUAUUUGCCGGCCAACUUUCAGGAUUGGAAGGAAAGCUUAGUGCUUUGGAGUCUAAAGAGACCUUUGCGGAAGCCUCUGGUGGAGCGUUGGUCUGCCUUGGCCCUUCUGAACCUAUAGUUGGCUUAAUGGCUCUAAAC